rnacentral:pre_miRNA from 1 species
AAAGGCGAAAAGGAGCUCUUCUUCAGUCCAGUCCGAGGCAGCGGAGGGCUGCCACUUGGCUGCUGACUCGUUGGUUCACAAGCUCAUCAUCAAACAAAUUAUGAAUGUGUUUCUGAUCCAACGAUGCAGGAGCUGCGUUCAGCUCUACCCUAUCACGUCUUGGACUGAAGGGAGCUCCCUUUUUUUUUUUA